rnacentral:misc_RNA from 1 species
CAACCCUCAAGCUCUGCUUGGCGUUGGGGAUCGGCAGAACGGCUCCCCGGAGCCGCGCCGUCCCUGAAAUUUAGUGGCGGUCUCGCUGCAGCCUUCUAUGCGUAGUAGCACACCUCGCACUGGAGAGCAGCCUGGCCACGCCGUAAAACCCCCUAAUUUUUGU